rnacentral:rRNA from 1 species
AUGAACGCUGGCGGCGUGCCUAACACAUGCAAGUCGAACGAUGGCAGCGAUGUCAUAGUGGCGCACGGGUGAGGAACACGUAGCUAACCUGCCCUCGAGUGUGGGAUAACUUCCCGAAAGGGAUGCUAAUACCGCAUAAGCUCACGUGGAGUAAGUACAUGUGAGAAAAGAUUUAUCGCUUGGGGAGGAGGCUGCGGCCCAUCAGGUAGUUGGUGAGGUAACGGCUCACCAAGCCGACGACGGGUAGGGGGUCUGAGAGGAUGGCCCCCCACACUGGGACUGAGACACGGCCCAGACUCCUACGGGAGGCAGCAGUGAGGGAUAUUGCACAAUGGGGGAAACCCUGAUGCAGCGACGCCGCGUGGGUGAUGAAGGCCUUCGGGUCGUAAAACCCUUUUGCCACUGACGAGAACAAGGACGGUAGGUGGCGAAUAAGCCUCGGCUAACUACGU